rnacentral:SRP_RNA from 2 species
AAGAGACCUUUAAGACAGCUGGUCAUUAUGCCAACUGGGUGUCCGCACUAAGUUCGGUAUCAGUAUGGUGACCUCCUGGGAACAGGUCAUCGGCUUGCCUAAGGAUGGGAGAACUGGCCCAGGUCAGAAAGGGAGCAGGUCAGAAUUCCUGCACCAAUCGGUAGUGGGACUGUGCCUGGGCAAUAUAGCAAGAUCUUGGUUCUU